CCUACGGGAGGCUGCAGUGAGGAAUAUUGGUCAAUGGACGAGAGUCUGAACCAGCCAAGUAGCGUGAAGGAUGACUGCCCUCUGGGUUGUAAACUUCUUUUAUAUGGGAAUAAAAUGUUCCACGUGUGGGAUUUUGUAUGUACCAUAUGAAUAAGGAUCGGCUAACUCCGUGCCAGCAGCCGCGGUAAUACGGAGGAUCCGAGCGUUAUCCGGAUUUAUUGGGUUUAAAGGGAGCGUAGGUGGAUUGUUAAGUCAGUUGUGAAAGUGUGCGGCUCAACCGUAAAAUUGCAGUUGAAACUGGCAGUCUUGAGUACAGUAGAGGUGGGCGGAAUUCGUGGUGUAGCGGUGAAAUGCUUAGAGAUCACGAAGAACUCCGAUUGCGAAGGCAGUUCACUGGACUGCAACUGACACUGAGGCUCGAAAGUGUGGGUAUCAAACAGGAUUAGAUACCCUUGUAGUC
rnacentral:rRNA from 1 species